rnacentral:miRNA from 1 species
UGUGGUGGUUGACUCAUUCUUAA